rfam:Loa loa cont3.1535, whole genome shotgun sequence.
AUCGGUUGUAGGUACCAAAAACCUAUUUGGGUAUGCUGGUCGGUUCAAUUUGUGCAUUAAUGGGAGUUCUAACAAUUGCACUUCCAGUGCCAGUCAUUGUCUCCAAU